rnacentral:rRNA from 1 species
UCCUGGCUUAGGACGAACGCUGGCGGCGUGCCUAAUACAUGCAAGUCGAACGGUCUUUCUAUGGAAGCUUGCUUCCACUGAGAAGAUAGUGGCGAACGGGUGAGUAACACGUGGGUAACCUGCCCAUAAGAGGGGGAUAACAUCCGGAAACGGGUGCUAAUACCGCAUAGUUUUCUUGAUCGCAUGAUCGGGAAAGGAAAGACGGCCUUUGUGCUGUCGCUUAUGGAUGGACCCGCGGCGUAUUAGUUAGUUGGUGAGGUAACGGCUCACCAAGACGAUGAUACGUAGCCGACCUGAGAGGGUGAUCGGCCACAUUGGGACUGAGACACGGCCCAAACUCCUACGGGAGGCAGCAGUAGGGAAUCUUCCGCAAUGGACGAAAGUCUGACGGAGCAACGCCGCGUGAGUGAAGAAAAGGGUUUUCGGAUCGUAAAACUCUGUUGUCAGAGAAGAACAAGUUGGAGAGUAACUGCUCCAGCCUUGACGGUAUCUGACCAGAAAGCCACGGCUAACUACGUGCCAGCAGCCGC